GUCUAACAGCAUACCUCCCUGAACAUACCCAGUCUCUUCUCAUCUCAGAAGCUAAGCAGGGUCAGAAGUGGUUAUACUUGGAUGGGAGACCGCCUGAGAAUCCUAGGUUAUGUAGGUU
ensembl:rRNA 5S_rRNA 5S ribosomal RNA